GACGAACGCUGGCGGCGUGCCUAAUACAUGCGAGUAGAACGCGGAAGGAGGAGCUUGCUUCUCUGGAUGAGUUGCGAACGGGUGAGUAACGCGUAGGUAACCUGCCUGGUAGCGGGGGAUAACUAUUGGAAACGAUAGCUAAUACCGCAUAACCGUAGAUAUCGCAUGAUAUCUACUUGAAAGGUGCAAUUGCAUCACUACCAGAUGGACCUGCGUUGUAUUAGCUAGUUGGUGAGGUAACGGCUCACCAAGGCGACGAUACAUAGCCGACCUGAGAGGGUGAUCGGCCACCGUGGGACUGGGACACGGCCCAAACUCCUACGGGAGGCGGAAGUAGGGAAUCUUCGGCAAUGGCCGGAAGUCUGACCGAGCAACGCCGCGUGAAUGAAGAAGGUUUUCGGAUCGUAAAGCUCUGUUGUAAGAGAAGAACGAGUGUGAGAGUGGAAAGUUCACACUGUGACGGUAUCUUACCAGAAAGGGACGGCUAACUACGUG
rnacentral:rRNA from 1 species